AGUACCAUAAGCAAAAAAAAAAACAAGUCAAUUAAUAAACAAACAUAUAGUGUGUCAGUACAACCAUAAAACUUGUCUGCUCUGAAAACAACACAAUCUGAUCAAAUACAGAACCACAAGUGUGAUAAUGCUCCUACUAGUUAAAGAGAAAAAAAAAAACAAAUAAUCUUAGUUGACUUAACUAGACCUAGAUCCAAUCUUAAACUUGAGCAAAUUCUAAGAGAAACUAAAGAUAAAGUAACUAACUAUACACAAUCCACUCAAUGCAAGUUCUUUUUCCUAUUUGUACAAUCUUGAAGAUUAGAAAAGUGAACCUUGCUCAAGUAGUUGAUCACUUUCAUCAUCGACCAAUACCUAGGUUGAGGGUUCAAAUCACGCUAGAGGGUAAGUGAAAAUAUUAAGAUUGACAGAGUCAUGUUGAAGAGCAAGUGAAAACACUAAGUUCAAAGGUUUCCGGUCACGCUGAAGAGCAAAUGAAAACACUAAGACCAAAGGAUUCAAGUCAUGCUGAAGAGCAAGUGAAUACACUAAGACCAAAUGAUUCGAGUCACGUUGGAGGAUAAAUGAAAAUACUUUUGAUCAUUCUUGGGUUGGGAUGGAAAAAAAGAAGAAAUAUCACAUGAAUUGAGAGUUCAAGUCAUGCUGGAGGAUAAGUGAAAACACUAAGGGUUGAGGCUAGAGGAUAAGUGAAAACACUAUUAAUUAUGCUG